GUUUCGGUGGCCUAGAGGUUAGAGCGCCCGCUUUGGAUGCGGGAGGUUGCGGGUUUGAUCCUCGGCCGAGUCA